rnacentral:rRNA from 1 species
AUACAGAGGGUGCAAGCGUUAAUCGGAUUUACUGGGCGUAAAGCGCGCGUAGGUGGCUAAUUAAGUCAAAUGUGAAAUUCCCGAGCUUAACUUGGGAAUUGCAUUCGAUACUGGUUAGCUAGAGUAUGGGAGAGGAUGGUAGAAUUCCAGGUGUAGCGGUGAAAUGCGUAGAGAUCUGGAGGAAUACCGAUGGCGAAGGCAGCCAUCUGGCCUAAUACUGACACUGAGGUGCGAAAGCAUGGGGAGCAAACAGGAUUAGAUACCCUGGUAGUCCAUGCCGUAAACGAUGUCUACUAGCCGUUGGGGCCCUUGAGGCUUUAGUGGCGCAGCUAACGCGAUAAGUAGACCGCCUGGGGAGUACGGUCGCAAGACUAAAACUCAAAUGAAUUGACGGGG